GAACCUAAAAACUUCAAAUUGAGUUCGACUAAAUUAUCCAUGUCAACUUCUCAAGACAAAGAUAUUCACAACAGAUUGGAGCCAAUUUCACCAGAAAUUCAGUACACGCAUAAAACUAUGAAAUCUACGAACAUCAAAACUCAGAGGUUUCAAUAUGACAACUUAUCAAACCUUAUUUGUGUACUAUACACAAAUAAGCAUCUAACUCAUGCUCAAAAACCCCUACACAAUAAUCAUCUAAAAUUACGAAGCUAGUCAAAAUCAUCAAACUUUAAACAAGCAUCUGGAGAUCCCCACUCAC
rnacentral:lncRNA from 1 species